GACGAACGCUGGCGGCGUGCUUAACACAUGCAAGUCGAACGGAAAGGCCCUGCUUGCAGGGUACUCGAGUGGCGAACGGGUGAGUAACACGUGGGUGAUCUGCCCUGCACUUCGGGAUAAGCUUGGGAAACUGGGUCUAAUACCGGAUAGGAACCAUCUUUAGUGUGGUGGUUGGAAAGUUUUUUCGGUGUAGGAUGAGCUCGCGGCCUAUCAGCUUGUUGGUGGGGUAAUGGCCUACCAAGGCGGCGACGGGUAGCCGGCCUGAGAGGGUGUACGGCCACAUUGGGACUGAGAUACGGCCCAGACUCCUACGGGAGGCAGCAGUGGGGAAUAUUGCACAAUGGGCGCAAGCCUGGUGCAGCGACGCCGCGUGGGGGAUGAAGGCCUUCGGGUUGUAAACUCCUUUCGCUAGGGACGAAGCUUUGUUGUGACGGUACCUAGAUAAGAAGCACCGGCUAACUACGUG
rnacentral:rRNA from 1 species